rnacentral:lncRNA from 1 species
AAGUACAGCAGUAGUCGUCAGUUUUUCGCACAACAAUGAUAACGAUGGGUAGCUCCAAAGUGCAAGGAAAGGAGGGGCAAGUGUACGUGUGAUUCCACCCUACCUUUCCGACGCGGACCCCCUCUUAAUAGUACGGCUCUCCUACGACUCAACUCCACCAAAGAGAAACGUAGAACAACGACGGCUUCACUAGUCUCCGAGGGGCACCGAAUCGUCUUGUGCCUAAUGAAGAAGUAUCUGUGGGACUCAAGGCACACGAUUAGUCCGCACGAGUAUUGUCAUCAAUCACCAAAACACUUAGGGAUAAAUAUGCCCUUACAAUCUCCGCCUUUUUGGUGUAUUGAGGACAACACGGGAUUUGCACAUAGAUAAGAUAUGUUUAAAGCAGUGGCAAACCCCACUCCUCUAAAAUAUAGAUGGGGCUCCCCCUAGAUAUGUGCACUAUAUAUGAAUGCUUUGGACUGCAUGGCACACAAACUAGGAUCAACACUCCCCCUAUAUUUUAGAGACCAAGACAUGAUAAUAAGCCUAGCAUAGCAUGAAAGAAGCACAAAAUAACACAAGCUAGCUAGGAUAGAUAGAGUGCAUAUGUCUUACACCAUAUGAGAUAAGAUAACCAAGGUUCAAAUGAUAAAAGCAGCAAAGAGUUCAACUAGCAAACACACAAACUCGCAAAUCCAAAUCCCUACACUCUCUCCCCCUUUGGCAUCGAGACGCCAAAAAGGCAGAGAGGACACCUAAACACACAAGAGGUGGCUCAAGCAGAGAAACUGUCCCACUCCUCUUCGUCAGACUCCUCCGCAGCUGGAAUGGACUCCUCGGCCUCCUCCUCAGAAUCAGUCCACUUGAAUCCUUGCUUCUCCAUCCACUCGGUCUCAGGAGUGAUGCGCUCCUCAGACCCGCCAGACACAUCCUCGCCAUAGAGCUUCAAGAUCUUGUUGUGCCGGCGACGACUCUCCUUGGACUCCACGUGAGCCCUGUACUGUCCCUUGGCUUGCAUGCAGAAAAGUGACUUCAUCUUAUCCUUCAACCUCUUGGCCCAGGAUGGCCUAGAGUCACUCUGAGUAGGCCUAGAAGAACGGCCCCCAGCAACAUCCUCAGCUCCAGCAGCAUCCUCAUCAACAGCAGCAGCCCUAGCAGCAGACGCCUCAGCACGAGUAGCGGUGUUGGCCCAGUUGGGUUUGACCCUCAGACAAAUGGGCUCAUGGUGAAUCCAGUCUGGAGCCAGGAACUCCUCCGCGGGGUACAUUUUCUCCCAAGUCUUCGAAAUCAGCAGAAACAGGUAGGGUCCAUAAAUAGGCACCUUGCGGUUGAACACAGCAAACCGAAGCUCGCACCACAUGAUGUGAGAGACAUCAAGUGGCUGAGUCUGAGACGACCGAGCCUCCUCGCACAGGAGCAUCAUGUCCACCAUGUAGGCAUGAACCUUGUCUUUGUCACCGAUGCGUGGGAACAGAGAGUUGCGGAAGAUGCGGUACAUGAUAUCCAGAAACGGGUUGAGAACCGAGACAAUCUUGCCAGUGGCGAGCUUCUUCUCAACCAUGAACGGAGUGAGCUUGUCCUUGUCAGCAGAGUCAGUAUUGCCGUGAGGGCGAACACCAACAGGAGUGUCAAGUCCAUCAUCAGCAACUUGAAGCAAAUCCAUGAACUCCUUCCAGGUAGCAGACAGCUGGCGGCCAUUGGUCAUCCAUGUCAUCCUCCUCUCAUCAUUGGUGUGAAAGUACACUGAGGCAAAGAACUGACAAAUGAUCUCAGGAUCAUAGUCCAUGUGGAACGAGAUCACAUGCUCAAUUCCAAACUGCUCCACCAAGUCCAGAGCCUCCCCAAAGUAGUCGCGAAACUUGUCCUUCCUCAUGUGGUGCAUCUCAAUCCACUUUACCUCUACAUAGGUAUUCUGCUUGUUCUUGAUGACAUCCAAGUAGAUCUGGGUUUGAGUCUUGUUCCAGAACAGUUCACAUCCUCUGAUAGUGGAGCGUGGGGUCGCAUAUGGGUGAAGCUGCCUGAGACGGACAUACUCUUGAGCGCCUAUCUCAUCCAUGCCCCUGGCGGGCUCCUUGUGCUUGCUGGCGGUGGACUUGACAUUGCGCUUCGAUGCAGAUGAUCCCUCGGGAACUUCUCCUGGGUUGCGCAGACGCUUGGAACCAGUGUCACGAACGGGAUUGGCCCGGCGAGAGCCACCACCUAAAACACACACGCAAAGCACCAAAACAAGUCGAAAAGGAUCAAUGCAAAGGCUAAAAGACAACACAUGAAACCCAUAGAAGAUAAACGGGAAAGUUGGCAUGCGAUAGAUGUGAGCCAUGGUAGAACUGCCAUGGGGUGUGAUACUAAAGUCUUAGUACAGCUCCAGACGCGGUAGUACCGUGAGGGGUCACGGUAGUACCGUGGCUGGGGCAGUAGUAAGACGUUAGUACCGCACGGCGCGCGGUAGUACCGCGCCAUAGGGGCGGUAGUACCAUGGGAGCGGUAGUACCGCGCCCUACGGGCGGUAGUACCGCGUCGCGUCGGAUCAAGCAGGAUUUGAAUCUGAAAAAGACCCGCGAAGCCAUGGCGGUGCUACGGUGACCAGAUCUAGUGCAAGACAACAAUACAAGUAUAAAUCCUAUGCAAUACUACACUCCUUCAUCCUACUCUUGCAGAGAUCUAGCCGAGAAAUCUCAAGAACAUGCAAGCCUCCCCCAAAACCUAGAAGAACCAAAUACAAUCAACACGGAGAAGGUUUUGGGGAAAAACCUUGGUCCAUAGCAAGAGCACGUGGUGGGGAACGAUCCCACCAGACGGAAUCACGGGAGGGAAGCCGGUGGAGGAGAUCCGGCGACGAACGCCGGCUCCGUUCGUGAGCACGAGAGAGGAACGGGCGAUGUGGAGAGAAAGGGACAAAUGGGUAUGGGGGAGUUAGAACUCCCCCUGCCCGACCUUAUCCCCACGCGCCCGAACCGGCGCGGUAGUACCGCGGGUCAUCGCGGUAGUACCGCCCGGGCGGAAGUACCGCGCCGUGGCGGUAGUACCGCUCCAUCAGGCGGCCGUAAAAAAUUACUGCCGCUUGGGUGCGGUAGUACCAUGCUCCCAUCAGCAGUAGUACCGUGAUUGGCCACGGUAGUACCGUGGCCGACCGCGGUAGUACCGUGAGCUCACGCCACCAAGGGUUUCGAACAGGAGAGAAAACACGCCUAUGCACCGGAAAAACAGACACAACCCAAAGCAGCACAAAAAGCAAAGGAACAACGGUAAAACCCUAAGUGACAAGGUCUCUCGAGGAGAGAGGGCGGUGGCCGAAGCCACCUAUGUUUGAGUUGGAUGGUAUGGCACCGCGAAGAAUUAUCCUUGGGCCCAUGACCAAAACUCGUCUUUGAAGCACAAGUACCAUCAAAGAUGGCUAAUGUGAAAGAGGUGAUCUAUUUAUGCAUAAUGGGGGGAGGGAGAGUUCAUUGAGAGAACAACACUCCCCCUAUGUCCAUGCCUACAUCUAAACUAGACAACAAGUUGAGUGUGGUGGGGGGUGCACGGGUUCAAGUCACAUUGCUCAAAUCAAUGAUAUUUAGCUCAUGCCUUAACUCGCGAAAUCUUGCUUCAUCCAAUGGCUUCGUGAAAAUAUCUGCAAGGUUAUCAUGAGUGUUGACAUACUUGAGCUCGAUCUCCCCUCGCCUAAUGUGAUCCCGAAUGAAGUGAUACCGAAUCUCAAUGUGCUUCGUCUUGAAGUGUUGCACCGGGUUGAGGGAAAUCUUGAUGGCACUUUCAUUAUCACACCAAAGAGGCACUUUGUCACAAGUGACACCGUACUCCUUUAAAGUUUGCCUCAUCCAUAGGAGUUGAGCACAACAACUACCGGCCGCCACAUACUCCGCUUCGGUGGACGAGAGAGACACACAACUUUGCUUCUUGGAAGACCGACUUACCAAAGAGCAACCAAGAAAUUGACACCCUCCGGAAGUGGACUUCCUAUCCACUUUGUCUCCCGCCCAAUCGGAAUCCGUGAAACCUUCAAGCUUGAAGUUUGCUCCUCUUGGGUACCAUAAGCCAAAGUUUGGGGUAUGAGCCAAAUAUCGAAAGAUUUGUUUGACCGCCACAAAGUGACUUUCCUUUGGUGCGGCUUGAAAACGUGCACACAUCCCCACACUCAACAUGAUAUCCGGCCUAUAUGCACAAAGGUAAAGCAAGGAUCCAAUCAUGGAGCGAUAUACCUUUUGAUCCACCGCUUUACCAUUGGGAUCGAUGUCAAGUUGGCACUUGGUAGGCAUUGGUGUAGUAGCCGGCUUGACAUCACUUAGCUUGAAUCUUUUAAGCAUGUCUUGAGUAUAUUUGGCUUGGUUGAUGAAGGUUCCUUCUCUUCUUUGCUUGAUGUCGAAACCAAGGAAGAACUUCAACUCUCCCAUCGAAGACAUCUUAAACUUGGAGGUCAUGAGAGCGGCAAAUUCUUCAUUGAAAGCUUUGUUAGGGGAACCAAAGAUAAUAUCAUCAACAUAUAGUUGGCAUACAAACAACUCCCCGUUGACCUUCUUAGUAAAAAGAGUGGGGUCGAUUAGCCCUACUUCAAAACCACGAUCUUGUAGCAACUCGGUAAGGUGGUCAUACCACGCACGUGGGGCUUGUUUAAGGCCAUAGAGUGCCUUAUCGAGUUGAUACACGUGAUCCGGAAAGUAGGGAUCCUCGAACCCGGGGGGUUGCUUGACAUAGACCAACUCAUUAAUGGGACCAUUAAGAAAAGCACUUUUCACAUCCAUUAGUUGCAACUUAAAGUUGUGAUGGGAAGCAUAAGCAAUCAACAAACGAAUGGAUUCAAGACGAGCAACAGGAGCGAAGGUUUCACCGUAGUCGAUACCCUCGACUUGGGAGUAGCCUUGUGCUACCAAUCUUGCCUUGUUGCGAAUGAUGUUCCCAUGGGCAUCUUGCUUGUUCUUGAAGAUCCACUUGGUCCCAAUGACAUUGUGGUUCCUGGAUGGUCUUGGCACCAAUCUCCACACCUUGUUGUACUCGAAGUUGUUGAGUUCUUCAUGCAUGGCAUUGAGCCAAUCCGGGUCUUCGAGCGCCUCAUAGACCUUUUGGGGUUCAACACAAGAGACAAACGCGUGAUGUUCACAAUAGUUUGCCAAUUGUCUACGAGUGCUUACCCCUUUACGAAGGCUUCCAACCACAUUUUCCAUGAGAUGGCCUUGGUUUGUGAGCUUGGAAGCAAUCUUCGCGGCACGACGCUCUAAUUCCUCCUCGGGUGUGGAAGGAGGAGGGUUGACUUGAUGAUCUUGAGCGCCGUCUUGAGUUUGUUCUUGAUCUUGAGGUUGAUCUUGAUCUUGAACUAGCUCGAGGGGGAGAACUUGACCUUGGGCAUCAUUUAGUGGUUCAUCACCGUCUUGAGGUAGAUCUUGCCCUUGGUCUUGUUCACGAGGUUGAGGGCCUUCACGUUGUUCUUCGGAAGCGUGUGGGUCUUGAUGAGGUGAUGGCUCUACUUGAGUAGAGCAUUGUCCUUCUCCUUCGGCCACAAGGGGUUCCUCAAUGGGUAGGAUGUGACCAAUACCCAUUCUUCUUAUGGCUUGGGGAGGAAUUUCAUCACCUAUAUCACAAGUACCACUUUGCUCCACUUGGGAGCCGUUAUUUUCGUCAAACUCCACGUUACACGUCUCCUCAAUGAGUCCGGUGGACUUGUUGAGGACACGGUAAGCAUGAGAGUUUGUAGCAUAACCAACAAAUAUGCCCUCAUGAGCUCUAGCUUCAAAUUUAGACAACCGAACACCUUUCUUGAGAAUGAAACACUUACAACCGAACACCCGGAAGUACUUGAGGUUGGGCUUGUUGCCGGUGAGGAUCUCAUAAGGAGUCUUGUUCAAGCCUUUGCGAAGAUAGAGCCGAUUGGAUGCAUGACAUGCUGUGUUGAUGGCUUCGGCCCAAAAGUUGUAUGGAGACUUGAACUCCGCCAUCAUGGUCCUUGCCGCAUCCAUCAACGUCCGGUUCUUCCUCUCCGCAACACCAUUUUGUUGAGGGUUAUAAGGUGCCGCAUAUUGAUGCUUGAUCCCCUCGUCACUAAGAAACUCAUCCAAGGUGUAGUUCUUGAACUCGGUGCCGUUGUCGCUUCUUAUUGUCAAGAUCUUUGCAUCAUGUUGACGUUGAGCUUCAUUUGCAAAGUUGAUGACGGUUUGUUGGGUCUCACUCUUCCUCUUGAAGAAGUAUACCCAAGUAUAUCUUGAAUAAUCAUCCACAAUCACCAAGCAAUACUUUCUUCCUCCAAGACUAUCAAAAGAUGGAGGCCCAAAGAGAUCCAUGUGAAGGAGCUCCAAGGGUCUCUUCGAGUAGAUGAUGGAUGAGGGAGGGUGAGCCUUUUCAUGAAGCUUUCCUUCGAUACAAGCACUGCACGCACGAUCUUUGGCAAAACUCACAUUUGUUAGUCCACGAACAUCGUCCCCCUUGAGGAGACUUUGCAAAGAUCUCAUAUUGACGUGGGCCAAACGGCGAUGCCAAAGCCAUCCCACGUCAACUUUAGCCAUUAGGCAUGUCGCGGUCUUAGUGGGUUGCUCUGAAAAGUUAACCACAUAGAGACCGUUCUCGACAUGCCCAACAAAGGCUACUUUAAGAGUCUUGCUCCACAAGAGGGCCACGGUAUCAAUAUCAAAGAAUGUGGCAAAACCCAUGAGUGCAAGUUGACGAACGGAAAGUAAAUUGAAUGCAAGGGACUCAACAAGCAUGACUUUCUCGAUCGUUAGAUCAUGAGAAAUGACAACCUUGCCGAGACCCAAUACCUUAGAAUGUGAUGCAUCACCCCACUCGACAUUGGUGGGCAUAGAUGGAAUCUCUUGCACAUCCACCACCAAGUCCUUGCUCCCGGUCAUAUGAUUUGUUGCUCCACUAUCGAGCAACCAUGAUCCCCCACCGGAAGCAAACACCUACACGAGAUCAAUGCUUGGUUUUAGGUACCCAUUUAGUAAUGGGUCCUUUGAUGUUAGUAACAAGGGCCUUGGGAACCCAAAUAGACCAUUCAAUGUACUCAUAAGGAGAACCAACAAAUUUAGCAUAAACAUGUCCAUCACUAGCACGGCACAACACAUAUGAAGGGUUAAAGUCGCCGGCUUUGUUUGAGGAAACAUUCUUGCCCUUUUGAACAUCAACUUCCUUCACUUUAUCCUUCUUCUUCUUGGAAGCUCCGUCUCCCUCUUUCACAAAAGUUUGUUUGAGGGGAGGAGGACGAUUGGCCUUGUUGUUCUUCUUCUUCUUGCUCUUGGACUUGGGUGCAAACCCAAUUCCUUCUUUGCCCACAACUUCCUUUUGAUUGCUCAAAAGGUCGUUGAGGUUUUUCUCACCUUGAAUGCAAGUCACAAGGCCCUUCUCAAGUUGAUCCUUCAACUUAGCAUUUUCCUCCACAAGAUGCACAUGCUCACAACAAGGGUUAGUAGCACAUGCAUUAUCAAUUAAUACCAUAUGAGGAAAGGUGGCUUUUUCCUUGAUUAGCUUAACUUGGAGUUGAGCAUGAGACUCUUUGAGGCUAGCAUGAGUACCCUUUAAGACCUUGUGGGCCUUGUCAAGUAUCUCAAACUCCUCUUUGAGUCUAGCAUGAUCAACCCCAAGUUUAGCCUUCUCGGAGGGUAGCACACGAGACAUGACAAGAGCAUGAUCAAGAUCUUUCUUUAACUUAGCAUGGGCAUCAUUGUGUGACUCCUCAAGAGUCAAACGAUGCACACGCUCUUCCUCAAGAGCAUUAGAGAGAUCCGAUAUCUCAUCGGCAUAGUCACGACUAUGACCUUCCAUCUUGGAGAUGGUUUCUUCGUGAGCCUCGAUCAUGUCAUUGGCCUCACCAAGUUGUUCCAAGAGAGCAACAAAGUGCUUCUUGGACUUUCCCUUGAGCUUACUCAUGAAGGACUCUAAUUCAUUCACUUCCUCAUUAGACUCAACAUGUCCAUCAAUGCAAUCCUCCACGGAGGGAUUAGAAAUGAUGGUGGUUGUGAUGUUGGGGGUUACCUUGUUUGAAGCCUUCGCCAUGAGGCAUCUAGCAGUGAUGUUUUCGUUGGGUGAUUCGAAGAGAGACACCCGAGGAGUAGCAAUGGCAAUGGAUGCCAUGGCCGUUGCUUCUUCAUUCUCAUCAUCAUCGUCAUCCUCUUGGUAUUCUUCUUGAACCACCAACCCACGAGUGGGAGUCUUCUUGGCGAAGUUGUUCUUGUUGGGGACGGACUUGGCUUUGUCUUUCCGAAUGAACUUGCCACCAUUGUCUUCCCUCUUCUCGUAAGGACAAUCCGCAACGAAAUGGCUCACAUUGCCACAGUUGAAGCAAGUUCUAACUCGUUGCUUGCCCUUGACGCCACUUGAGUUAUUCUUGUUGAAGUUGGGUCUUGAGCUCUUCUUGCUCCAAAAUUGUCUUGAAGCAAGGGCCAUGUGCUCAUGGUAGUCGAACUUGGUGUCUUCGGGGUUGCUAUCCUCAUCUUCCACUUCUUCCUCUUCUUCGACAAUGACCUUGGCCUUCAAGGCAAGGUUAGGCUUCUUAGCUCUUUGAGAACGGAGCACCGCAUUUUCGGCGGUCUUGUCCAAGAUGCUCAUUGCAACGAACUCAUCCAACACUUCACUUGAGGUCAUGGUGUGGAAGUCCGGUCGUUGACGAAUGACGGAGGACAUGGCUUUGUUGUAGGGCAUCAUGGCCUUGAGGAACUUUCGCUUGAUCCAAUUGUCAUCCGUGUCCUUGCUUCCAUGAUCUCGAAGUGCCACCGCGAGUUUGGUUACUCUUCGAAAGAGCUCACGAGGUUCUUCAUCUUCUUUCAUUGCAAACUCGUCGGCUUCAUCUUGCACCACUUCAUAGUUGGACCGUUGAAUGCUAGCACUUCCACGAUAGAGGCCCCCAACACAUUUCCAUGCUUCUUUAGCCACGACAUGGGGUCGAAGGUGAGGGAGAUCUUCGGGAAGAAUUGCAUCUUGAAUGAUGAAGAGAGCACUCUCAUUGAAUUGAUUGUCCACGGCUUCUCGAGGGGUGAAGUUGCUUGGGUCAUGAGGAUAAAAACCUUCUUCAAUGACUCUCCAAAGGUUAGUGUUCACAUGUUUCAAAUGACGCUUAAAGCGAUACUUAGGAGGUGGACCGGCAUGAUUCAAAUGAGUGGAGGGGAUAGGCCCUCCAUAGACCGGGGGUUCCACAUGGGCAAAGAUGCCGGUGCCAUUUCUACCACUAGUAGAAGGACUCUUUUCAUUGUUAGCUUCCCCCUUAUCGUAGAAAGCAUCCGUCACCUUGUUAGUGGGAUCACCCACUUUCAUAGGUGCGGUAGAUACUUUAAGUCCCUCUAAGAAAUCAUUAAACAUGCUUUUAACCUCGGCCGUCAUGGAGGUUUUCAAUGUGUCCAAAGCCACAUUGAACUCCUCACGAGAGACCGAGGUUCCCCCUUCGGCCGAAGAUGAGAUGGGAUUCACACCGGAGUGUUCCUCCACACCAUCGUUGGUGUCAACCAUACUCUUCGGACGGUAAAGUCCUUAAUAAAGAGACGAGGCUCUGAUACCAAUUGAAAGGAUCGAUAUGGUUGACUAGAGGGGGGGGGUGAAUAGGCAACUAACAAUUUUAAGCUUUUUUUUUACCAAAUUAAACUUUGCAACAAAUAGGUUGUCUAGAUAUGCAACUAAGUGAGCAACCUAUAUGAUGCAAUAACAACUAGCACGCAAGCAAGCAAGAGAUGUAACAAUAAGUAAGCUUGCAAAAGUAAAGGCACGAAAUAACCAAGAGUGGAGACGGUGAAGACGAGGAUGUGUUACCGGAGUUCCUUCCUUUUAAGGGGAAGUACGUCUCCGUUAGAGCGGUGUGGAGGCACAAUGCUCCCCAAGAAGCCACUAGGGCCACCGUAUUCUCCUCACGCCCUCACACGAUGCGAGAUGCCGUGAUUCCACUAUUGGUGCCGUUGAAGGCGGCGACCGAACCUUUACAAGCAAGGUUGGGGCAAUCUCCACAACAAUCGGAGGCUCCCAACAACAACACCACCAUGAAGCUUCACCACAAUGGAGUAUGGCUUCGAGGUGACCUCAACCGUCUAGGGUGCUCAACACCCAAGAGUAACAAGAUCCGCAAGGGAUAAGUGGGGGAAUCAAAUAUCCUUUGGUGGAAGUGUAGAUCGGGCCCUUGUCACCCAAUCCCGAGCAAAUCAACAAGUUUGAUUGGCUAGGGAGAGAGAUCGAGCGAAAAUGGAGCUUGGAGCAACAAUGGAGCUUAGAGGUGGAAGAGGUAGUCAACUAGAGGUAGAAGACAUCCCUUAUAUAGUCGGGGAAAAGAUCCAACCGUUAUCCACUAGUUCUGCCCGCGACUCACGGUACUACCGCUCUAAGGGAGCGGUACUACCGCGACGACGCGCGGUACUACCGUGGGUGAUCAUGGUACUACCGUGGCAGCUGCACAGGCCGGAACAAGCCUGAGCUAGAAGCAGUACUACCGCUGGUGCGGUACUACCGCUCCCCCUUGCGGUACUACCACAAGGCAGGAGGGUCACGGCCUGGGAAGGGCGCGGACGAAAUAAAUUUCAUCCGUGUCUACUUCCGCAGAAACUAGGGUGGUGCAAAAACCCGACGCGGUACUACCGCCUGCAAGGCGCGGUACUACCGUGGUAGGCACGGAUGUAAAAAAUUACAUCCGUGCCUACUACCGCAACGAAGCGGUACUAGGCAGAAGGGCCACGAUACUACAACUCCAAAGGAGCGGUACUACCGUGAGCCCCCGCGGUACUACCGCGCAGGACGAGCGGUACUACCGUGGAUGGCGCGGAUGUAAAAAAUUACAUCCGCCCCUACUACCGCACCGGAGCGGCACUAGGCUAGAGUGCGGCGGUACUACCGCACCAGAGGAGCGGUACAACCGUGAGGGGCGCGGAUGUAAAAAAUUACAUCCGCCCCUACUACCGCACUGGAGCGGCACUAGGCCAAGGUACCGCGGUACUACCGCGCCAGAGGGGCGGUACUACCGUGACCUGUCGCGGUACUACCGCGUGUACUUGCGGUACUACCGCAAGUACAGCAGUAGUCGUCAGUUUUUCGCACAACAAUGAUAACGAUGGGUAGCUCCAAAGUGCAAGGAAAGGAGGGGCAAGUGUAUGUGUGAUUCCACCCUACCUUUCCGACGCGGACCCCCUCUUAAUAGUACGGCUCUCCUACGACUCAACUCCACCAAAGAGAAACGUAGAACAACGCCGGCUUCACUAGUCUCCGAGGGGCACCGAAUCGUCUUGUGCCUAAUGAAGAAGUAUCUGUGGGACUCAAGGCACACGAUUAGUCUGCACGAGUAUUGUCAUCAAUCACCAAAACACUUAGGGAUAAAUAUGCCCUUACA